rnacentral:rRNA from 1 species
AGGGUUUGAUCCUGGCUCAGAUUGAACGCUGGCGGCGUGGCUAAAGCAUGCAAGUCGCACGGACCAGCAAUGGUCAGUGGCGGACGGGUUAGUAAUACGAUCGAACGUACCCUGAGGUGGGGGAUAGCGGCGGGAAACCGCCGGUAAUACCCCAUGAUCUCUCCGGAGCAAAGCCGCAAGGCGCCUUUGGAUCGGCGAUCGGCCUAUCAGCUAGUUGGCGGGGUAAAGGCCCACCAAGGCUAUGACGGGUAGCAGGUGUGAGAGCACGACCUGCAACAUCGGGACUGAGACACUGCCCGGACUCCUACGGGAGGCUGCAGCGACGAAUCUUCCGCAAUGGGCGCAAGCCUGACGGAGCGACGCCGCGUGUGGGAUGAAGCGUCUACGACGUGUAAACCACUGUCAGAGGACAGAAACACUGAUUGUCCUCAGAGGAAGGGGCGACUAACUCUGUGCCAGCAGUCGCGGUAAUACAGAGGCCCCGAGCGUUAAUCGGAAUCACUGGGCUUAAAGGGUGCGUAGGCGGACCAGCAAGUGCUUUGUGAAAGCCCCCGGCUCAACCGGGGAACCGCGGGGCAUACUGCUGGUCUUGAGGCAGGUAAGGGUCGCCGGAACAGUAGGUGGGGCGGUGAAAUGUGUAGAUAUCUACUGGAACGCCGAUGGUGAAGACGGGCGACUGGGCCUGACCUGACGCUGAGGCACGAAAGCGUGGGGAGCAAACAGGAUUAGAUACCCUGGUAGUCCACGCCGUAAAC